ACACACACAAAGCCAUCCAUAAUUGAUGCUAGCUGUAGGCAGACACUGGCGGGCUGGACUUUAUAGCGCAGCUGGAUGUGCAUGGAGGAAGGCUGAGGCAAGAUGGUAGAGCAGGGUAACCAGGACACACCGGCGCCCCCGGAUCCAUCCAUGGCCCAGGCUUACCAAUCGGCCCAGUUUGCCCCCCCUCCCCAGAACGGCAUUCCAGCUGACUUCACAGCUUCACACCCCCAUCCACAUCCACACUCCCACCCACAUCCACACCAGCACCCAGCAGCACCACAGGACUACACUGGGAUCCAGGCCUCCGUCACUGAGCAUCCACUCAACAUGUACCAGUCCUCACAGAGCCACAGCGAGCAGAGCGGAUCAGACUCCGGCAGUCAGACAGUCACCGGCACAGCCACACAGACAGAUGAUGCCGCCCAGACGGACAGUCAGCCACCGACACAGAGUGUAUCUGAAAGCACAGACAGCAAGGCCCAACCCAAGAGACUUCAUGUCUCCAACAUCCCCUUCAGGUUUAGAGACCCAGACCUCAGGCAAAUGUUUGGCCAAUUUGGCAAAAUCUUAGACGUGGAAAUCAUCUUCAACGAGCGAGGCUCUAAGGGUUUUGGGUUCGUAACGUUCGAGCAUAGCGUGGACGCCGACAGGGCCAGAGAGAAAUUACACGGCACCGUGGUAGAAGGCCGUAAAAUAGAGGUCAACAAUGCAACAGCCCGAGUAAUGACAAAUAAGAAGACUGUCAACCCAUAUGCAAAUGGCUGGAAGUUAAAUCCAGUGGUCAGCGCUGUCUACAGCCCAGAAUUCUAUGCAGUACCAGGUUUUCCUUAUCCAGCAGCCAGUGCAGCAGCAGCGUACAGAGGAGCCCACCUACGAGGUCGAGGAAGGACUGUGUACAACACAUUCAGGGCAGCUGCUCCUCCUCCCCACAUUCCAGCUUACGGAGGUGUUGUUUACCAGGAUGGAUUUUAUGGUGCAGAUAUUUAUGGUGGUUACGCUGCCUACAGAUAUGCCCAGCCUACUGCUGCCACAGCUGCUGCAUACAGUGACAGUUACGGACGAGUAUAUGCUGCCGACCCCUACAACCACACACUCACUCCAGCAGCCACAUACAGCGUUGGUGCCAUGCUGUUGGCAUGUACCCCUGGCAUGAAGCGUCUCGCUGUGCUUGCUGCAUGACGGUUGCUCCGGUCAUUGGUCUUUUCAUCCCCCCAUGGGUUUGCACUGGAACAACGAAUGCGUUCGCCCCGCUGACAGAUGCCAAAACUCGGAGCCAUGCCGACGACGUGGGGCUAGUGCUGUCCUCUCUCCAAGCUAGUAUAUAUCGGGGAGGCUACAGCCGCUUUGCACCCUAUUAGCAACACCUCCAACUAUACUCAACCUUCCAACAGGAGAGAAAGAAAGUGUGUGUGCGAGCGACUGUGUGAGUGAAUGAGAACGUCAGCGAGAGAACGAUUUAUCAGAGGAGAGAUGUUACUGAGGCCUGGGUAUUGCAAUACAUGCAGUUUGUGCAUCAUUUCAGCAUCUCCUAAGAGAGAAGUACAAAAAAAAAGAAUAAGAAUAAAAUGACAGCUGAUAUUUUUCAUCUUAUACCUCAAAUAUUUUGUGCUGUGUAUUUUGAUAUUGUGGGUUUUUAAUUUCUAAAGAUUUAAACAUAGAUUAUCAGCUGUAGAGGUUUUUCCAUGGUACUAAUAGAGAGCUGCUAGAGUAAUGAUUAGGACACAAAGGAAAUAUUUAUCUGAUUCAAAUUGUUAGGGCUUGUAUAGAACUCAACCCUGUAAGAUAGGUCAUAGUCACACUUUCGGGUUUUUAUGUUUUGUAAGAGUGUUAAAGUGACUAUGCUAGUCAAGUGUUAUUGUUUUACUUCUCUCAGCUUCCUUUUUGGCACUUCCUCUCUCAGUUUAGCGACGAUAGUUUUUUUUCUUUAGUUUGUGAGGAAGUAAAGAAGCCUUGGAAAAAAAAUGGACACAAAAUGUUCUUCUAUAAACUUUUGAGGGCAGGGCGGGUAUGUUUGAGAAGCUGAGGACAGCCAUGCUUUCUAUUUUUUUAGGUCCAUCAUCUUGAGAUCACAACAUUUUUUUUAUCUUGUUAACUAACUAGUGUUUACUGUCACAUGCUCAGAAUGAUUUAGCCAAACCGAGAUAAUAAUUAAUUCCCAAGACAAACCCUACGUAGUGUCUGCAUAGUCGUGAAAAUUGCACGUAAUGUAGCCUAAAAUGUAACAUGAGGUUUUCUUGUUUGGUUUUGUUUCAUGUGAAAUGGAAUUGCAUUUACAAAGAAUGUUUCAUUCAUUUUGACUUUGUAUCUCAUAAUUACAAAAUCUGAUUACUGUUUCAAACAUUAUUUUUCUAUUAUAGAUUAUCCAGCUAACAUUUAAGAUGUACGGAUACUGAUUUUUGGGCCAAAUCAUAUUAUUUUAUUUGUAUGUUGUUUAGCCUAAAAAUAGAAAAGUAGAAAAUUCAGCUACGGUUAGCCUGAUUUCAGCCAAAUUUAUGACCACAUUUAGCCAAACCAAAGCCUAAAUAAACUGCAUAUAAUGCCCACAUGAAAUGUCACAACACAGUUAAAUAAACAUAAAAAGGAACCUUAAAACAUUUAAGCCAUGUGGUUAUAACACAUACAAGUUAGCACUGUUUCAUGACUACAAAGAGGUCAUCACAAAAACUGUUUUCCAACAGCGGCAACAGAAAUCCAGAUCAACUUAAAGAAGAGAUGAUCGCAUCUCCAUUUAGCUUCAUCACCAAGUCAUGGAAACAAUCUCAACUGUACACAGGAUGUGUUAGCCCCUUUAUCUCAUCAUGUUCAGCUUACGUGCUGACUAAUGCCUCCGGUCAGCUCCAUUCAGUCUUCCCCUCACCUUCCAGGUCAAAGCUGGCUGAGAGCUGACACUGUAAUGAUAACUACACGGCAUCUUUGAAAUAUGUUUAAACUCACAGACAGGUACGUCAUGGCUCCUGCCUCUGCAGUGUUUGCUGUGGACAGCUGGCAGCAGGUCAAGCUGUUUGUACAGCAGUGCAAUCCAAUCAAACAACAGUCUGAGCAGAGUUUUGACUGAUGGCUUAACGCUGAUGUAGCGGCUGAUCUGAUGAGGUGUGUAUGAGCUCAGACACACAGAUAUAUCUUUAACACCAAACACCAAAGCAUAGCCCACGUUUUAAGUUUAUUACUAAUUAGAAAGGCUAACAAUAAUUAUGCAUAGUUAUAAUUAUCAUAAACAUCUUGUAAUCUUGAGACACUUAGUCAAAAUCUUCAUUCUUUUGGUGAAUGCGAUGCAUUUUCAUAAUAGUAACAAGAUGUUUAUUCGAAUUCUAACAAAAAUGUAACGGUUGUUUUUCUCUAAUUCUGGCAUCUUUCCUCUUCCAUAUAUUAUAUUAUUGAGAUAGCGAGUUAAUUAAGUCAUGAUCUCGAACUAAAAUAAAAAUUAGUGAUCACAGCUGCUCCCUUCUUCCAUAGAUAAUAGAGGUGUAGUUUAGUUUCCUUUUUAUGGAGAGAAUGAUGUGAGUCAGCACAUUCUUCAGGCUGUAAAUUUAUUGACUAAAUAAUGUGGUUAUAUCGUACAUCACUUCAAACCAAAGGUUCUGGUGGACAUAUCCGGUGUGUUUUAUGUGUAUAGUCAAGAUUCCACAUAGAUAUGAAUUAUGAGAUACGAAAAAAAAAAAAAGGAUUGCCAUGGCAACUAAACUGUUCAACCAUUUAAUUGCUUUAGUCCACAUGCUGUGAUAUGAAAAAGAAUUAGGGCCACAUGAAUCAAAAUAAUAAUUUAAUAAGAUAAAAUCAGAUGAAUUGCAGAAUUCGAAGGAAAAAGACGGGAUGCUGGGAAAUGAAGUCAGACUUUAAUCACAGAAUUCAGACUCUGAAUUCGAAGAUGAAAUGUUUUGUGGCACUAAUCCUCUUCCAUACUGAGUAGUGUUGGCCAUCCAGACGUAGAUGUUUUUUAUAUAAACUUCCAAUAUAUUCAUUGGUAUAACUGAUGAUUUUUAUAUUACAGGAGAGAUUUAAAAAAAAUAUAUAUAGCAGUGGUCAGUUCCACUGUGUCUAUUUUAUCUUUCUGUUCAUCUUGUUUUGCCUUUUUUUUGUUUGUUUGUUUUCUUUCAUAAUUAAAAUUGAAGGGGGGUAAAGUAUAAUAAUCCAACAAUGUAUUAUAUUUGAACUGUGCAGUGAAGAUGUUCUCUUAUAUGAAAUACACAAUGGUAUUAUGUUUUAGAUUUAGAUGAGUAGAUCAGUUGUUAGGGCGAGCUAUCUCAUUUUCUAUCAGAUCAUAUUCAGAUUUUUAUUAACUCUUUACAAAUAACGUAAUCACAGUGUAGAUACUCUCAUUCAUCCCUUUUCUUUCUUUUUGGUCGACUGUACCAUUUUGCACAUACAACUUGUAAUUUUCUCAUGAACCUGAGACAUAUCAGUGCUGUAGUUGUAAUUUCUCUUCGUUCUUUUGUAUCAGUUCUGUAAUUUUGGAUUGGUUCUCUUUCCUCUCACGUCAUUCUUAACGUGACAUCUUUUCUGUUAUUUUCUAGAACUCAACCUUUACUCUUUGAGAAUUAACUGUUUGAAUAUUACAAUACUAAAUAAUUAUGAGAAAUAAAUGAUUUGUGAACAGGCUAAUCUAUGAUGUAAAUACAAGUUAAUGGAAUAAAUCUGUAGUGUAUUUGAAAAGCGCUACAUGGGCAACGGGGGCUCUGCUACGGCUGCAUUGCAAGCCAGCCUACGGGACACUUCCUGUGCCACGUUCUGUUUACAACUCUUCCCAAUUAGUGGUGUUGUUAAAUAUCUCCCUUUUUGUAUUUAUAACAAAUUAGAAAGAAAACUCUCAGAUGCAUCACCUUAUUAAAAAAGGCAGCAGUAAGAGCCUCGGGGCCGCUUGGCUCCGCGGGUUCGAACCCUCGUCUCUGUGCUGUGUGUGACGACUGUCGAUCAGAACUGGACGAAUCGUAGUCCUCACUAUGCUGAAUGUCUGACUCCGCAACUACUUUAUACAAGCUCUGCUUCCAGUAGGUGUUGUGGUUCAAAACAAGGCUUCCUACCCAGUCAUUGUAUGUGCAUGUACUAUGGUUCUUCCACUAAUCAAUAACCAUCAAUAAAGUUUUGU